UACAGAGGUCCCAAGCGUUGUUCGGAUUCACUGGGCGUAAAGGGUGCGAAGGCGGUCGGGUAAGUCUGAUGUGAAAUCUCACAGCUUAACUGUGAAACUGCAUUGGAUACUAUUCGGCUUGAGAGUUGGAGGGGGGACUGGAAUUCUUGGUGUAGCAGUGAAAUGCGUAGAUAUCAAGAGGAACACCAGUGGCGAAGGCGAGUCCCUGGACAACUUCUGACGCUGAGGCACGAAAGCUAGGGGAGCAAACAGG
rnacentral:rRNA from 1 species